GUGGUUAUACUUGUAUGAGUAUAGCCGUGCGGCUAUACGUUGGGAAUAUAUUUUAAUAUUUAAAGCGUAUAGCCGCGCGGCUAUACUAUUUAAAUUUAUUUUA
rnacentral:miRNA from 1 species